GGAUGUGAGGGCAAACUGGCUGCGACAUCUGUCACCCCAUUGAUCGCCAGGGUUGAUUCGGUUGAUCUGGCUGGCUAGGAGAGUGUCCCCUUCCUCCCUCACCGCUCCAUGUGAAUGCCUCCCAAAGGGGUGCAAGAGGGCAGCCUUCCCCAAUAGAGACUGACUGGUCUUCGGUCAGGGUAUACAAGUAGCUGCGAUCCCGUGCUUGAACCUCCAAACAAGCUCUCAAGAGAUGGAAUUCUUUUCUCUCUCUCUCUCUCUUUCUUUCUUUAAAUAUUUACUUAUUU
rnacentral:snRNA from 1 species